ACCAGUACCGUGAGGGAAAGGCGAAAAGAACCCCGGCGAGGGGAGUGAAAAAGAACCUGAAACCGUGUACGUACAAGCAGUGGGAGCACAGGUUUACCUGUGUGACUGCGUACCUUUUGUAUAAUGGGUCAGCGACUUAUAUUCUGUAGCAAGGUUAACCGAAUAGGGGAGCCGGAGGGAAACCGAGUCUUAAUUGGGCGUUAAGUUGCAGGGUAUAGACCCGAAACCCGGUGAUCUAGCCAUGGGCAGGUUGAAGGUUGGGUAACACUAACUGGAGGACCGAACCGACUAAUGUUGAAAAAUUAGCGGAUGACCUGUGGCUGGGGGUGAAAGGCCAAUCAAACCGGGAGAUAGCUGGUUCUCCCCGAAAGCUAUUUAGGUAGCGCCUCGUGAAUUCAUCUCCGGGGGUAGAGCACUGUUUCGGCUAGGGGGCCAUCCCGGCUUACCAACCCGAUGCAAACUGCGAAUACCGGAGAAUGUUAUCACGGGAGACACACGGCGGGUGCUAACGUCCGUCGUGAAGAGGGAAACAACCCAGACCGCCAGCUAAGGUCCCAAAGUCAUGGUUAAGUGGGAAACGAUGUGGGAAGGCCCAGACAGCCAGGAUGUUGGCUUAGAAGCAGCCAUCAUUUAAAGAAAGCGUAAUAGCUCACUGGUCGAGUCGGCCUGCGCGGAAGAUGUAACGGGGCUAAACCAUGCACCGAAGCUGCGGCAGCGACACUGUGUGUUGUUGGGUAGGGGAGCGUUCUGUAAGCCUGUGAAGGUGUGUCGUGAGGCAUGCUGGAGGUAUCAGAAGUGCGAAUGCUGACAUAAGUAACGAUAAAGCGGGUGAAAAGCCCGCUCGCCGGAAGACCAAGGGUUCCUGUCCAACGUUAAUCGGGGCAGGGUGAGUCGACCCCUAAGGCGAGGCCGAAAGGCGUAGUCGAUGGGAAACGGGUUAAUAUUCCCGUACUUGGUGUUACUGCGAAGGGGGGACGGAGAAGGCUAUGUUGGCCGGGCGACGGUUGUCCCGGUUUAAGCGUGUAGGUGUGUGUUCCAGGUAAAUCCGGUUCACUUUAACACUGAGGCGUGACGACGAGGCACUACGGUGCUGAAGCAACAAAUGCCCUGCUUCCAGGAAAAGCCUCUAAGCAUCAGGUAACAUCAAAUCGUACCCCAAACCGACACAGGUGGUCAGGUAGAGAAUACCAAGGCGCUUGAGAGAACUCGGGUGAAGGAACUAGGCAAAAUGGUGCCGUAACUUCGGGAGAAGGCACGCUGACACGUAGGUGAAGUGAUUUACUCAUGGAGCUGAAGUCAGUCGAAGAUACCAGCUGGCUGCAACUGUUUAUUAAAAACACAGCACUGUGCAAACACGAAAGUGGACGUAUACGGUGUGACGCCUGCCCGGUGCCGGAAGGUUAAUUGAUGGGGUCAGCGCAAGCGAAGCUCCUGAUCGAAGCCCCGGUAAACGGCGGCCGUAACUAUAACGGUCCUAAGGUAGCGAAAUUCCUUGUCGGGUAAGUUCCGACCUGCACGAAUGGCGUAAUGAUGGCCAGGCUGUCUCCACCCGAGACUCAGUGAAAUUGAACUCGCUGUGAAGAUGCAGUGUACCCGCGGCAAGACGGAAAGACCCCGUGAACCUUUACUAUAGCUUGACACUGAACAUUGAGCCUUGAUGUGUAGGAUAGGUGGGAGGCUUUGAAGUGUGGACGCCAGUCUGCAUGGAGCCGACCUUGAAAUACCACCCUUUAAUGUUUGAUGUUCUAACGUGGACCCGUUACCCGGGUUGCGGACAGUGUCUGGUGGGUAGUUUGACUGGGGCGGUCUCCUCCUAAAGAGUAACGGAGGAGCACGAAGGUUGGCUAAUCCUGGUCGGACAUCAGGAGGUUAGUGCAAUGGCAUAAGCCAGCUUGACUGCGAGCGUGACGGCGCGAGCAGGUGCGAAAGCAGGUCAUAGUGAUCCGGUGGUUCUGAAUGGAAGGGCCAUCGCUCAACGGAUAAAAGGUACUCCGGGGAUAACAGGCUGAUACCGCCCAAGAGUUCAUAUCGACGGCGGUGUUUGGCACCUCGAUGUCGGCUCAUCACAUCCUGGGGCUGAAGUAGGUCCCAAGGGUAUGGCUGUUCGCCAUUUAAAGUGGUACGCGAGCUGGGUUUAGAACGUCGUGAGACAGUUCGGUCCCUAUCUGCCGUGGGCGCUGGAGAACUGAGGGGGGCUGCUCCUAGUACGAGAGGACCGGAGUGGACGCAUCACUGGUGUUCGGGUUGUCAUGCCAAUGGCACUGCCCGGUAGCUAAAUGCGGAAGAGAUAAGUGCUGAAAGCAUCUAAGCACGAAACUUGCCCCGAG
rnacentral:rRNA from 1 species